AGGGUGUCUUUAGGAUUUCUGAGACCCACAAGGAGCAGUUCUUCAGGAGGCCAUUAAGGGUAUGGCCGUGGUCUUUAAGGUCAUCGGCUCACCCACUGCCCAGCCUGUGGUGUCAAAUAUCCUGCCUCUUCAAAUGUGCUUGGAUCGAUGAUGAGUCCUCCAAAAAAACAUUCCUUGGAAAAGCUGAACAAAAUGAGUGAGAACUCAUACCGUCGUUCUCAUCGGAACUGAGGUCCAGCACAUUUGCCUCUGCCGGGGACUGUAGGAUUGAGGGACAACUUCCACUAGUUACCAUAGGUUCCACCUCCCAGGGCAUCCACAGGCCAAAGUCUCCCAUCACACACAGGUUAGGAACAUUCCCUCUGUGCGAUGUAGACGGGUAAGAGAGUCAUGGGCAAAUUGUCUGCUUUGUUAAGGUGUGGCAGCCAUGGAAGAGUACAGAAAUUUUGCAGGCCUCAAGGAGUGUGUGGCUGGCCUCAGCUUGGUGAGCUCCCAGGAAGGGAGACCCAGAUCUCGCGGCAGAUGUCACCGCACACAGGACUGGGUCCGAUUUUUUUGCCAAGGAGAGCAUGAGAUGUGGGCCUCAGGCAGAUCUUUGUCUUGAUUUCUGGUUACCUGAGGACAAGGGAGUGCCAAGUUGAUGGGGAAGAGCAAUAGGUGUCCCAGCAGAUAUCCAAAGGCUCUUUGGCUCUCCUUCCAGGGUUGGUCACAGGGCCUCCCUGGCAGGGAUUUCUUGGCCUCCUGAGCUGUGAGCUGCUCGUAGUGCAAUGGCAGAGGCCUGGGCAGGAAGGUAUUCCAGAGAAAAGGUGGUAGAGGGCUCACGUGGACAUGUGUGUCAUCAGUGGUCUGGGGCUGUCAUUUGGCAGUGAUGGGCUUUACAUGGAUUUCUCUGGCGGAUGACAGCUCAGCCAGCAGGGGUCAUUGAGGGCAGGUCACAGUGAACAUGAGGGUCAGGCUGGCACCCACAGCCCUUGGUCACUUCUGGUCUUCACGGCAGAGUAGUGGGCUCCACUGUUGUGCACAUCUUCCUGGAAAUGGUCUCUUGGCCCGCUGUUGCCGGAUGGCCCCACCUGCUACAGCUCGUUUGAGCAAAUAGUGCUCUGGAUCCACUUUCCCACUUGGAAAGCAGCUUCCAUCCCGAAGGCAUCCAGAGGGAAUGUGCCUUGGCUCUGGCUCUGCCCUGGGCCUCUCCCAUGGGCUCCAGUCACACUUGGGGCUAUUCAUGAAGGUCUGUGUGUAUUCCAGAUUCCAGGCAACAUAUGUGCAAUCCCUAUGGCGUUGCCACAGAGAAUCUUUUGACUUGGGAUGCCUCCGUGCCACUGUAUGAUGGCGAUAUUCAAGUGUUGGAUUCUGCUCCGUCCUGGGGUGAUGAAGCGUUUCAGUUCCCUUAGCCGAUUUGAAGUCACAGUGCAGCCAGGACAGCCAUGCCACAUUGAAGGGCUUGUGGUUGUCUUAGGAAAGUUGGAAAGGAUUGGUGGUUCUACAGCUCGCAGCUCACUUAGUAGCCACGUGUAUCUACACCUGGUGCUGGUGUUGAGGUGGUGUUGACUUUCAGGCAUUGUUGUGGGUGGGAAUGCGGUCAAGCUGACUGCACGAUGGGACAUUGCCUCUGAGGUCAGUGCAGGGAAGCCCUGUGAGGUGACCAGUGCAAGGACAAUGUUAGGUGGUGUGUCUUGUCCACUUGGCCUUUGGGGCAUCAGGCGUGGACAUCCUGUUGGAGAAGCAGCCAUUCUCUUCGGGCAUCCUGAGGGCACAUGUGCGUACGUGGACUGAGUGGAGUGGAGGAAGCCUGUUUCUUGAGGUCGUUUGGCUAGGUUGCAAAGACCACCUCUGGCUUUGACGUCAUGUAUCAGUGCAACAUUCUGAGCAUUGGGCAGGUGCCUUCCAGCGCAGGUUUUGGUUGGUUUUCCGCCAGAUGUGCCUUACCCGGGAGUGCAGCAAGAGACAGUGUCUGGUCCCGACAUCAGAGGCCCUGUGAGGAGUAGCCUGUAUUCGCACCAGGGGUAUGGUGGCUGUUACACGAGGGACAUCAGGCCUAUUUCCACGUGGCCUUGAGAUCAGAGUGCACAUCCUACUGAUUGAAGGUCUUGAACCUUUGGUUUGUUGGGGGGAUCAGGUCUGGAGCCUGCAGACUAUAACCGCCCAUUGCAGUGGGAAUCACACACACACACACACACACACACACACACACACACACACACACACGUGUGCACAGCCACAGGCAAAUACUCGCAGCAGUGGGCACAUGAGGUUGUUCCAGGCACACACACUUCCUAUGUGUCCACAGAGUGACAGAGGUAAGAUACAUUCAUGGAGAUGGAGGUCAAUCAUGGAGACCAAGGAGAAGCAGGCAUGCAAGUUGCCCCACAGGGGCAGUUGCCAUGGGAGGCGCAGGCCUUCUGGAAGGAAGAUGGUCGAUUCUCCUGAGCAACAAAGGCCACGUAGAGUCCUGGUUUCAGUGUGGCCUCGCAUCCACAGUGCACCCCGUGCUGGUGGGUGGCUCAGGACGCACACUCAUUUCCUCUGCACCUUCCCGGUGUCAUUGGCAUGGAAGGAAGGCCCUUGUCCAAGAAGGAUGGUCUUCGUCUUGUGUGAUCUUUGAGAUGCCAUGAGGCCCCUGGAUACAAAUGGUGUGGGCUCCUUUGGAGGCUUUUGGAUUUCUCCUGAAUGUGGCGUUGGUAUGGAAGGAAGGCCAGUGACCGCAAGGGAUGAUUUUGAUCUUGGGAGAUUUUUGGAGAUGGCCAAGUGCUUCUAAACAUGUGUGGCGUGGUCUCCUUUAGGCUGGUGGAUACCUCAGGAUGGUGUGCACGGGUGUUUAAAGGGAUGCUCAACAUCAGUUCUCUCUAGUGGGAUUAUGUACUCCAUGGGCUCCCAGGAUCCAGACGUGCAUCCCUGUGUCUAUGCAGUUCUGCGUCCAUAAACAGGUGGUGUUGGCAUGGAAGGAAGGACUGUGUCUGUGAUGGAUGAUCAUCCUCUCAUGUGAUCCUUGGAGAUGCCAGGAAGCCCCUUGACACAUGUGGCAUGGGCUCCUUCAGAGGCUUUUGGAUCCGUCGUGAAUGUGGCAUGGGCAUGCAAAGAAAGACAGAGGCUGCAAGGGAUGAACUUCAUCUUGGGAGAUCCCUGGAGAUGGCAGGGAACCCAUGGACACUUGUGGCAUGGGCUCCUUUGGGUGCCGGUGGAUCCCUUCAUAUGGUGGAAGUGAUGAAUUGGCCAGGACCAUGUUGGUGAGGGACAAUCAUCAUCUCAUGUUAACCUCAGAGAUGCCAGGAAGCUCCUGGACACACAUGGUGUAGGCUUCCUUGGAGGCUGUUGGAUCUCUCCUGAAUGUAGUGUUGGUGUAAAAGGCAAACCUGUGUCAUGAGGGAUGGUCAUCAUCUCGUGUGAUCCUUGGAGAUGGCAGGAAGCCCUGGACAUACAUGGUGUGGGCUCCUCCAGAGGCUGUUGGAAUCCUCCUGGAUGUGGUGUGGGCAUGGAAGGAAGGCCAGUGGAGACAAUGGAUGAUCUUGUUCUUAGCAGAUCACUGGAUGUGGCAGGGAGUCCUAGGACAUGUGUGGUGUGGGCUUCUUCAGGUGCUGGUGGUGUUGGCAUGGAAGGAAAGGAGUUAUCUUCGAGGGACAAUCUUCUUCUUGUGCGAUCCUUGGAGAUGCCAUGAGGCCCCUGGACACGUGGUGUGGGCUCCUUUGGAGGCUGUUGUAUCCCUUCUGAAUGUGGUGUUGGCAUGAAAGGCAGGCUUGUAUUAUGAGGAAUGAUUGUCAUCUUGUAUGAUUCUUGGAGAUGGCAGGAAGCCCCUGGAAACACAUGGUGUGGACUCCUUCACAGGCUGUUGAAACCCUCCUGAAUGUGAGGCCAGAGACAGGCAGACAGCAGAUGUAUUGCAGGGAGCUGGAUGACAUGGCCCUUGGAACCUGUGCACAUGCCUGCCUUUCUGAUGCACGUCCAUGUUUUCUCUGCACCUCCCCGGUGGUGUUGGUAUAAAAAGCAGGCUUACAUCAGCAAGGGAUGAUUGUCAUCUCAUGCGAUCCUGGGAGAUGGCAGAAGUCCCAGGACACAUGGAGUGUGGGCUCUUUCGGAGGCUGUUGGAUCCCUCCUGAAUGUGUUGUGGCCAUGGAAGUAAGGCCAGUGGCUACGAGAGACAGUCUUCAUCUUGGGAGAUCCCUAGAGAGGGCAGGGAGCCCCUUGACCUGUGGAAUGUGGUCUCUGUUGGGUGCUGGUGGAUCCCACAGGUGGUCUGGCAUGGAAGAAGGCCAGAGGCUGCGAUGGAUCAUCUUUGUCUUGGGAGAUUCCUGGAGAUGGUGGGGAGCCCCUGGGCACGUGCAGCAUAUGUGGCGUGGGCUUCUUCAGGUGCUGGUGGAUCCCUCAGGAUGCUUUUCAAGGUUUUUCUAUGAGUUCUGUUAAAGAGUCUGAAAAUGGAGCGUAGAAGACAUGCUUCGAUUUCCAGGAUGGUUGUGUUUUCCAGAGAGGCGAAGGUAAACCAUUGGCGCAGUCCUGCCUCCCACAGAUAAUUCCGGGUGCAGUGUUUCAUAUCUAGACUUGGACUUCUAUCCUACCAUACUUCUUUGUAUGCAGGCCAUGUUUUCGCAGGCAGUCUUGCUAUCAGAGCUGAGGGGAUGCUGUUUUGAUCACUUAGUUUAUCUGAUGUUGCUGGGCCUCCAACUGGUGCUGACUGGUACUUCCUGAGAUGGCGAAGGUUUUUCUGUACUCUGAGAUGCCGUGUAUCUCUAUGUAAGGGGAGGAGACUCUGGACCACAGGAAUGAAGAGAACAUCUUAGGUCAUCGUGGAACCAGCACAGAUUUUCAUAUGAAAGUUAUUUCUUUUUAACCUCAAAAAGUGACAGAAUGGAGUGUAUCAUGAAAAAGUCUGACAUCAAAACCUCAAAAUGUGAUAUUGAUUGGGUGAGAUAGAAUUCCAUGGAAUUUCAUUGCCAAACCAGUGAAGUGAUAAUUUUGACAUUUGUACCAGCUAACGUAGCUGUGAAGAAACACACCAAUACACUUCUAAGGACAACAUAGACCAAGAUCUAGGUUUAGUAUGGAUGAAUUUAUUCUUCCCUUUGAGGCAAGACAAGAAGGAAAGAAAGUAUUGGGAAUAAUGCUGCCCUCCCAUCCUCAAGGGCCAGUGGGAACUCUAAUAUUGAUUGGGUGAGAUACAAUUCCAUGGAAUUUUACCACUGAACCAGUGGAGGGCUAAUUUUGUCAUUUGUACCAGUUAACUAACUUGGGAGGAAACAGAACAACACACUCCUGAGGUAGUAUCCAAUUUUUAGUAAAUUUAUUUUUAUUAUUUUUCAAACUGUCAGUGAUUUGGUUUGGUGAACAAUAGGUUAAUACAGACAAUGUUAGGAAUUAUUAAUCUGAUGCGCUAUCUGAAGCAUCAGUUUCCUUUAUUUUUAAGAUUUUUUUCUUCUCUGUAGUUUGGAUAACAUUUAAAACAUUUCCAAGAGUUAUAAAUUAGUAUAUUUUCUAUGCUGAUUAAUAAUGAAACCUUUUGUCUUAUACAAAUUUUUAAAAAAUGGACGUGUGUGUGCAUGUGUAUAUAUAUAAAUAUAUAUAUAUAAAAUCUCACAAGAUGAUGCAGACUAAAACUGCAUUUUAUAUGGCUAAGUUUAUUGUUUCCUUGUGUUGUAAUAUGAUGGAAAGUAAUGGGAAUAAUUCUGCUUCCUGUCCUUAGGGACCAGUAGGAAUUUUCCCAUGAUAAGCAUUUUGUCCUUAAAAUACUGGCAUCCUGUUAAGAGAUCAUGACACUCCAAUGACCGUGAGACCCUGGCUAUGCUAGUCAGCCAGGGGGCUGACCAUUGACAGUGAUGCUGGUCUCCGUGAUUAAAAAGUGUGGGUCAGCAUGUCCCAGGGUGACAGAAAGCUGUGUGAUCAGUGUCUGUCACAUAUCUCAGACUCAGGGUUCCUUUUUAAAAUGUGCCUGGAUCGAUGAUGACUUAAAGAUUUAUCUAAUUUAAAUCUGAACAAAAUGAGUGACCAAAACACUUCUGUACCACUUCUGUGAGCUGAGGUCCAGCACAGAGACCACUCCAGUCAAACAUGUGUUGCCUGGAGUUGCAACUAGUUGGUCAGUUAGAAGCAACCACAGGGACUGGGGUAUUUGAAAACCACUUGAGUGCAUUUAUUAGAGGAAACGAAUUUUACAUUUGUGUAUAAAAAUUCAA